CCUACGGGAGGCAGCAGUGGGGAAUAUUGCACAAUGGGCGCAAGCCUGAUGCAGCAAUGCCGCGUGUGUGAAGAAGGCCUGCGGGUUGUAAAGCACUUUUAUUAGGAAAGAAAAACCCGGAGUUAAUACCUCCGGCAUUGACGGUACCUAAAGAAUAAGCACCGGCUAACUCAGUGCCAGCAGCCGCGGUAAUACUGAGGGUGCAAGCGUUAAUCGGAAUUACUGGGCGUAAAGCGAGUGUAGGCGGCUACGUAAGUCGGAUGUGAAAGCCCUGGGCUCAACCUGGGAAUUGCAUUCGAAACUGCGUAGCUAGAGUUUGAUAGAGGUAAGUGGAAUUCCGGGUGUAGCGGUGAAAUGCGUAGAUAUCCGGAGGAACAUCAGUGGCGAAGGCGGCUUACUGGAUCAAAACUGACGCUGAGGCUCGAAAGCGUGGGGAGCAAACAGGAUUAGAUACCCUGGUAGUCCACGCCCUAAACGAUGUCAACUAGACGUUGGGCUCAUUAAGGAGCUUAGUGUCGAAGCUAACGCGUUAAGUUGACCGCCUGGGGAGUACGGCCGCAAGGUUGAAACUCAAAUGAAUGACGG
rnacentral:rRNA from 1 species